rnacentral:rRNA from 1 species
UACGUAGGGUGCGAGCGUUAAUCGGAAUUACUGGGCGUAAAGCGUGCGCAGGCGGUUCGUUGUGUCGGUGGUGAAAUCCCCGGGCUUAACCUGGGAAUGGCCAUGGAAACUGGCGAACUGGAGUGCGGCAGAGGGGGGUGGAAUUCCGCGUGUAGCAGUGAAAUGCGUAGAGAUGCGGAGGAGCACCGAUGGCGAAGGCAGCCCCCUGGGCUAGCACUGACGCUCAGGCACGAAAGCGUGGGGAGCAAACAGG